UACGUAGGGUGCGAGCGUUAAUCGGAAUUACUGGGCGUAAAGGGCUCGUAGGCGGCCAACUAAGUCAUACGUGAAAUCCCUCGGCUUAACCGGGGAACUGCGUCUGAUACUGGAUGGCUUGAGAUUGGGAGAGGGAUGCGGAAUUCCAGGUGUAGCGGUGAAAUGCGUAGAUAUCUAGAGGAACACCAGAGGCGAAAGCGAAUUACUGGACAGAACCUGACGCUGAGGCACGAAAGCUAGGGGAGCAAACGGG
rnacentral:rRNA from 1 species